GAUGAACGCUGGCGGCGUGCCUAAUACAUGCAAGUCGAGCGAACAGACGAGGAGCUUGCUCCUCUGACGUUAGCGGCGGACGGGUGAGUAACACGUGGAUAACCUACCUAUAAGACUGGGAUAACUUCGGGAAACCGGAGCUAAUACCGGAUAAUAUAUUGAACCGCAUGGUUCAAUAGUGAAAGACGGUUUUGCUGUCACUUAUAGAUGGAUCCGCGCCGCAUUAGCUAGUUGGUAAGGUAACGGCUUACCAAGGCAACGAUGCGUAGCCGACCUGAGAGGGUGAUCGGCCACGCUGGAACUGUGACACGGUCCAGACUCCUACGGGAGGCAGCAGUAGGGAAUCUUCCGCAAUGGGCGAAAGCCUGACGGAGCAGCGCCGCGUGAGUGAUGAAGGUCUUCUGAUCGUAAAACUCUGUUAUUAGGGAAGAACAAAUGUGUAAGUAACUAUGCACGUCUUGACGGUACCUAAUCAGAAAGCCACGGCUAACUACGUG
rnacentral:rRNA from 1 species